UUUAAUAUCGCAUUUAUAGUCAUACUGACUGGUUGUCACAUAUUCGUCUUCAAAUUGCUGACUUGCAAACUCUGAAAUUCAAUCAAACAUCGAAUAAUUGCUUACAUUCACAUACAUCAUGCUUUGCAAACAGAAAUCAGGCUUAAAAUCUAAAUUUAAGCAAGGAAUUAAUUGUUGUAGGAAAUUAAAUGUUGCACUUUCCAGCAUUUUGGACCGCAA
rnacentral:lncRNA from 1 species